AGAUUGAACGCUGGCGGCAGGCCUAACACAUGCAAGUCGAGCGGCAGCACGGGUACUUGUACCUGGUGGCGAGCGGCGGACGGGUGAGUAAUGCCUAGGAAUCUGCCUGGUAGUGGGGGAUAACGCUCGGAAACGGACGCUAAUACCGCAUACGUCCUACGGGAGAAAGCAGGGGACCUU
rnacentral:rRNA from 1 species